rnacentral:tRNA from 2 species
AGGCGGGUAGCUCAGUUAGUUAGAGCGUCUGGUUUACACUCAGAAGGUCACCGGAGCGAAGCCGGUCUCGCCUA